rnacentral:lncRNA from 1 species
UUCAGUUUCAGAGCCACCUCUGGGUCUGCACCUCCCCUGUGGGGCCUACUGUUUGGCCUUGUGCAGUGCUUUGGAUCUCUGCUUUCCAGAUCAGAGCUGUUAUGCCACAGAUAGAAAUUUCCACUCUGUAUUAACUUCUCUUGUGAAAUGGCAUCUGGAACACGGAUUACAACAAUCCAUUUAACUACUAUGAAACGGUUCUGGAGUGACACUGUUGUGAAGAGGAAAUUCCAGCGGAGCUACUGGAGCAAGCCUUUGAUCUGCCAUAUUGAACUCCUCCAGCUGUGCGGAUUCACUGCACUAUAAGAAAAACAUUUCUACGACCACUUUAAAGCUAAACUCAUUUCAGGUUUGUGCUGAAGAGAGAUUGAGAAAAGGCUAAAAGGCUAGCCCAGGCUUCCAUUUUGAGACAGCAAGAGUACCCAGCAAUAUGACGGACGUAACUAGUGGCAAGCAGGAUUGUGUGGGUUUUUUCUUUGAAGAUCUUCUGUAGUAAAACAGAAUGGAACUUGUCUAUUUAUGACAUUUUUCAAUUUUUCUGGGCAGUCAAUGAAACAUAACAUUACCAACAUCAUUUUCUCUCACCUGAUCUAAGAGAUUUUUCUUUUUGUCAUUUUUUAAUACUUCACCCGUUACAAAAGUUUUUCCACCUCUUACAUUUUGCAGUUACUAAUAUUAGGAAAUGCAAUGCCAAUUUGUUUGCAAGCCAUGUAAAAGGAACAUCUUAACAGGAUAGCAAAUGAUUAAAUACAUGGUAUAUUGUGUGGCAUAUAUUUGGUGGUUUUGUGACCUGAAAUGAUCUAAUGUCUAGUGUUUAAUCUUAUACCAUCAAAGUAAGGUCAUCUUUGCCCUAUUUCUUUAUUGCUCUUUGUGCUCAUAUAUGUUUAUUGAACAUUUGUGUGUAUUUAGCAGUGACAGGGAUGAAAAUAGUCUGAGGUUUAGGGAAGCAUUAUUUUUCAGGCUUCAAGAAUAAAACCGAUGUUUUCCAGGGCACAGAAUGCCUACCUGUGCCUAGGUGAUAAGGUCUCCAGCACAAUGAGCUCUUUUGUUCUGGGAAACAGGCCCAGGCUUAUUCUACUACUUCCCCGUUUUACAAUCUUGCUAAAGUUGACCUUUACCUAUCUUGUGGUGCUUUUUCAACAAAAAUAAAAUUCUUAACUGGGCUCAUUUUUAUGACUGACUAUAAAACCUCCCUUUCAACUUCACCUGUUAAUAAAGGGAACCAGCUCUUCCUUCUCCUGUAUGCUUGGGAAAAAUAGA